UUCUCUUUCCUUUUUUUUUAUGUUUGGGGGAGGAUUUUCCCUCUGCUCCUAAUGGGAUUGUAGGGGUGUAGAAGAGUUAUUGAGGGGGUUCUUCUCCUCAUCCGAUCUUAAACGACCAUAUCUUUGUUUGUGUCAGGACGAGGUCCUCCUCCUAUUCCCGACACAGUCAAUUUCAGCUCAUGUUAGGAUGAGGUUUUCCUCCUGUUCC
rnacentral:lncRNA from 1 species